rnacentral:rRNA from 1 species
UACGGAGGAUGCAAGCGUUAUCCGGAUUCAUUGGGUUUAAAGGGUGCGUAGGCGGGCUAUUAAGUCAGUGGUGAAAUCCUGCAGCUUAACUGCAGAACUGCCGUUGAUACUGAUAGUCUUGAGUUUGGUUAAGGUAGGCGGAAUGUGUAAUGUAGCGGUGAAAUGCUUAGAUAUUACACAGAACACCAAUUGCAUAGGCAGCUUACUGAGCCGACACUGACGCUGAGGCACGAAAGCGUGGGGAUCAAACAGGA